rnacentral:rRNA from 1 species
CCUACGGGGGGCAGCAGUGAGGAAUAUUGGUCAAUGGGCGCGAGCCUGAACCAGCCAAGUCGCGUGAGGGAAGACGGUCCUAUGGAUUGUAAACCUCUUUUGUCGGGGAGCAAAAGACGCCACGCGUGGCGUUCCGAGAGUACCCGAAGAAAAAGCAUCGGCUAACUCCGUGCCAGCAGCCGCGGUAAUACGGAGGAGGCGAGCGUUAUCCGGAUUUAGUGGGUUUAAAGGGUGCGCAGGCGGAAGAUCAAGUCAGCGGUAAAAUUGAGAGGCUCAACCUCGUCGAGCCGUUGAAACUGGGUUUCUUUAUUGAGCGAUAAGUAUGCGGCAUGCGUGGUGUAGCGGUGAACUGCAUACAUAUCACGCAGAACUCCGAUUGCGAAGGCAGCAUACCGGCGCCCAACUGACGCUCAGGCACGAAAGCGUGGGUAUCGAACAGGAUUAGAUACCCGGGUAGUC